rnacentral:rRNA from 1 species
UACGGAGGGUGCAAGCGUUAUCCGGAUUCACUGGGUUUAAAGGGUGCGUAGGUGGGUUGGUAAGUCAGUGGUGAAAUCCCCGAGCUUAACUUGGGAACUGCCAUUGAUACUAUUAAUCUUGAAUACUGUGGAGGUCAGCAGAAUAUGUCAUGUAGCGGUGAAAUGCUUAGAUAUGACAUAGAAUACCAAUUGCGAAGGCAGCUGGCUACACAAAUAUUGACACUGAGGCACGAAAGCGUGGGGAUCAAACAGG